CAGCCGCGGUAAUACGUAGGGGGCAAGCGUUAUCCGGAAUUACUGGGCGUAAAGGGUGCGUAGGCGGCCAUAUAAGUCUGGUGUGAAAGGUGCCGGCUCAACCGGCGUAAUGCAUUUGAAACUUUUAGUCUUGAGUAUCGGAGAGGAAAGUGGAAUUCCUAGUGUAGCGGUGAAAUGCGUAGAUAUUAGGAGGAACACCAGUGGCGAAGGCGACUUUCUGGACAGUUACUGACGCUGAGGUACGAAAGCGUGGGGAGCGAACAGGAUUAGAUACCCUGGUAGUCCACGCCGUAAACGAUGAGUGCUAGGUGUUGGGGGACAGUACCUUUGUGCCGGAGUUAACGCAUUAAGUAUUCCGCCUGGGGAGUACGGUCGCAAGGAUGAAACUCAAAGGAAUUGACGGGGGCCCGCACAAGCAGCGGAGCAUGUGGUUUAAUUCGGAGCAACGCGAAGAACCUUACCAGGACUUGACAUCCUGUGACAGCUUUUGGAAACAUAGUUUCCCUUCGGGGCAGAGAGACAGGUGGUGCAUGGUUGUCGUCAGCUCGUGUCGUGAGAUGUUGGGUUAAGUCCCGCAACGAGCGCAACCCUUAUCAUUAGUUGCCAGCAUUUCGGAUGGGAACUCUAAUGAGACUGCCGGGGAUAACUCGGAGGAAGGUGGGGACGACGUCAAAUCAUCAUGCCCCUUAUGUCUUGGGCUACACACGUGCUACAAUGGCCGGUACAAAGGGCUGCGAUACCGUAAGGUGGAGCGAAUCCCAGAAAGCCGGCCUCAGUUCGGAUCGUGGGCUGCAACCCGCCCACGUGAAGCCGGAGUUGCUAGUAAUCGCGAAUCAGCAUGUCGCGGUGAAUGCGUUCCCGGGCCUUGUACACACCGCCCGUCACACCACGGAAGUUGGGAGCGCCCGAAGCAAGUGGACUAACCGUUUACUCGGAAGCAGCUGUCGAAGGUGAGAUCAGUGACUGGGGUGAAGUCGUAACAAGGUAGCCGUA
rnacentral:rRNA from 1 species